rnacentral:rRNA from 1 species
AAUUUUAGUGAUCAAUGAGUUGGUAUAUUUUAAUGGUAACGGAUUUAAUAAUAAUAAGUAAUUCUUGUACCUUUUGCAUAAUGGAUUUACAAUAAUUUGUUUAAAUAUGCUAAAACGAAGAUGGUUGAGCUAUUUAAGGUAGCUUAUUAGGGUUAUUUAUUACCUGUAGCAUAAGGUUCGAUUAAUUUUAAAUAGGGGUGAUAUUCCAUUCAAAGCCAUAGAUAACUUUUUGGGUAGGAAAUAUAUCUGGUAUUAAUAAAAUUUGGGAAUUAUAAGGUUUCCAAAGGGCUCAAAAGAGUAUUAUUAGAUUAUAAAUUUGGCUUAAGAGUCGGAUUGCCCUUAAUACUAUAAUAGAUUCUUAACCGUUUGAGUUUAUUACUAUCUAACUUUCUGAAAUUGCUUUUAGGUAUAAAAUGUAAAUAUUAGUAGUACAAUAAUUCUUUAAAAGGAACUCGGCAAAAAUAACUCUCAACUGUUUAUCAAAAACAUAACUAUAAGGUUAUAUUUAUAGCGAUUUCUGCUCAAUGUUAAAAUAAAUAGCCGCAGUACCCUGACUGUGCUAAGGUAGCAUAAUCAAUAGGCUUAUAAUUGAAGUCUGGUAUGAAGGAAAAUUUGGGAGCUAACUGUCUCUUUAGGAAUAUUUGAAUUUUUUUAUAAAGUGCAAAAACUUUAAAUUAAUUAUUAGACGAGAAGACCCUAGAAAUUUUUUAAAUUAUUUUGUUGGGGCGACAAGGUAACAGUUAAACUUACCUAUAUAUAUUUGAAGCAUUAAGGCGGUAUAGAGAAAUUACUCUAGGGAUAACAGCAUAAUUUAAUAAAGUUUGUGACCUCGAUGUUGGACUAGGUACUUUUAAGUUUAGAAGAAUUAAAUGGUUGCUCUGUUCGAGCAGAUUCUACCUACAUGAUCUGAGUUCAGACCGGCGCAAGCCAGGUCAGUUUCUAUCUUUUAAAUAUUUAUUAUUGGAGUACGAAAGGAAAGGUAAUAAUUUAU